GACGAACCGUGCGAACGUUAUUCGGAAUCACUGGGCUUAAAGCGCGUGUAGGCGGGCGGGUACGUCGGCCACUGAAAGCCCCCGGCUCAACUGGGGAGGGUCACGCGAUACUGCUCGACUUGAAGGCAGGAGAGGGAAGUGGAAUUCCCGGUGUAGUGGUGAAAUGCGUAGAUAUCGGGAGGAACACCAGUGGCGAAGGCGACUUCCUGGCCUGUUCUUGACGCUGAGGCGCGAAAGCUAGGGUAGCAAACGGG
rnacentral:rRNA from 1 species